rnacentral:rRNA from 1 species
UACGUAGGGGGCAAGCGUUGUCCGGAUUUAUUGGGCGUAAAGAGCGUGUAGGCGGCCUUACAGGUCUGCUGUGAAAACUCGAGGCUCAACCUCGAGACGUCGGUUGAAACCGUAAGGCUAGAGUCCGGAAGAGGAGAGUGGAAUUCCCGGUGUAGCGGUGAAAUGCGCAGAUAUCGGGAAGAACACCCGUGGCGAAGGCGGCUCUCUGGGACGGUACUGACGCUGAGACGCGAAAGCGUGGGGAGCGAACAGG